GGCUCGUUGGUCUAGGGGUAUGAUUCUCGCUUCGGGUGCGAGAGGUCCCGGGCUCAAGUCCCGGACGAUCCC
rnacentral:tRNA from 1 species